UACAGAGGUCUCAAGCGUUUGUUCGGAUUCAUUGGGCGUAAAGGGUGCGUAGGCGGCGCGGUAAGUCGGGUGUGAAAUCUCGGAGCUUAACUCCGAAACUGCAUUCGAUACUGCCGUGCUUGAGGACUGGAGAGGAGACUGGAAUUUACGGUGUAGCGGUGAAAUGCGUAGAUAUCGUAAGGAAGACCAGUGGCGAAGGCGGGUCUCUGGACAGUUCCUGACGUGAGGCACGAAGGCCAGGGGAGCAAACGGGG
rnacentral:rRNA from 1 species